CAUGACUUUCCAGGUAAAGAUGUUGUGUUAGCGUCUUGACUGACUGAACUGAGUGACUGCACAACAUGAAUAAAUGAUCAGAGCGGAGAGGAGACUGACUCACCAGCAAACAAGCCCCGCUGUCGGAAAAAGCCAGACAGCAGUGUUAAUUAGAGGAGCAGGAAGAUAGAAGCAGCAGGGGCAGUCGAUGAAUGCCUGUGUGGUUUGACUUUGGUGGGGAGGAAGGCGAGGUUUGCUGUUAAAAGAGGCUAAACGGAUGACAGGCAUUCAGU